rnacentral:lncRNA from 1 species
AGAUUGCGACCAGAGCAUGCCUGCUGUGACUGUCAGAGUAAGUGGUUUCAACUUUAUUAGAGACUUCUAAGGAAUGACUUGGUCAGCUCUGUGCUUUCUUGCCUUCAAGAGUGUGUGCUGGGCGCUGGCACUGCGCUCAAGCAGAUGAUAAUCAAGACACAUACCUGGUGUGCGAGGAGCUUAUGUAGAUUGAGACUAGAAAUAUAGACAGAUAACUGGUCUUAAAGAGAAAGAUCCUAAGACAAGGUACCGCUUUUCGAAGUGUCAUAGUUUUCACAGUACAAUGGCCUCUUAGCUGGGAUGUGAAGGAUACACAGGAAUUCAUGAAGUCUUCUUUAGUAAAGAAAGCUUAGGCUGGGCACAGUGGCUCAUUCCUGUAAUCCCAGCUCUCUGGGAGGCCAAGGCAGGAGGAUCGCUUGAAGCCAGGAGUUCAAGACCAGCUUGGACAACAUAGCAAGACCCCAUCUCUAUAAAAAAAAUAAGCUGGUGCUUACUGCCAGUCCCAUGGUGGGUCUCAACCUGGGAGGGAUGGAGGACAUGGUUUCUGGUCCUGCUCACAACACCCAAAUACAUGGCUCUUAGUGACCCUGUUAGCUCCCCACAUAACCUCGAGUUGGUUUUAGGAGCGAAAACUAAAUUUGGGGCAUGGAGUUUGGACACAAGUGUGUCAGGGGCAUUUUGGGAAAACUCAUUGUAUUAAAAUCCAAAUUUACAAACCAGAUCCAUUUCGGGGGAUGAGGUAGUUUGCUUGACUUUACAGAAGAGUUCAUUAUCCUCUUAACUCUCAAGCCCUCAGCUACAUGUCCCACCCCCACUGGAAAAUCAGAUCUAAUUUAUAAAAAACUCAAUUUACCCCCAACUUCCCCUGACUGUGAAGUCAGUGUGAGGGGCCUCGAUGGCCCAGGCUACAGAUCCAUGAAGGCCUCAGGGUCUUUCCUAGACCUCUUCUCACAUCCAGAUGCACAGAGACCAUCUUCAACCCCUCCAACUCACCCAUCUUGCAAAGAGGGAAACAGGAAAGAGUGGGGAAGGGGCUGCCCCAGGCUCACAUACCAGAGACCUCCCAAAAGGAGAAAAGGGCACAGAUGCCAUAAUCAUACCAGUCUGCGCUCAAUGCUAAUCAGCCAGACUAAGUUGAGCUGAGUCACUUUCCUAUCGGCUUUAGUUUCCUCACCUGUAAAAUGGGACAAUAGCACCAAACUGCUGAUGCAUGGUGCAUGCUAGGGUUAGUGACUAAGGGAGAGCCCAUGCUUCUGAGCACACCCUCAACUCCCUCCCCGCCCAGACCCACA